GCAUGGCUGAAUACUGUGUUCUUUUUGUCAGUAGUUUACACAGCCAGACACCAUGCGAAAGUAAAGUUUUCCCUUUGUAAUGGCUAUUGAUGGUAUGCUAAGUUUUUUCAUAGCAUGCUGUUACUAAAAGAGGAUACAAAU
ensembl:snoRNA